AUUCUGCUGCUGGUAUUCAGUGCGUGCUGACGAGAGCAUCCUUCGCGGCUCUUGUCAACAACAGGUCGAUAAGAAAGGACCCAUCGAACGCGCUUCAACGCUAGCGAUCGUAGACGCUAGACCUCACAGCAUCGCGUGCUGCAAGAGCGAGCGAUUUCGAGACAGGCACGGUUGUACUCGUUAUUGCGUGGUGGCGUCGGUGCAGUAGCACCGAUUGCACAGACACUUGGUGAGCUUGCGCACUGCUCGACGCACCAAAGUGGCCGUGUCCAGGCGCACGCAAACAUCGAAGGCUUCGUUGUCGCGAACUGGGCGCGGGAAAAUGGAAACGUUGCGGACGGAAACGCGCAGGGGAAGCAGUGUCCAGCGCCGAGGACCUCUGCGCACCCCAGACUCUGUCUGCGUCCAGCGUUGACGUUCACGCGUCGGGCACGUGCUGCUGCCCCGUCCGGGAGCUGUGAAGGCUGGGGCUCUUCGAGAACCAGCCUGAAACGUCUUCUGUAGUACCACUGGGUCCGAGGGUUCGCACCUUUGGUGCAGCGCGGUAGGCACGCGGGUUGUCCGGUUCACCGUCCAGCACGGAAGCGCGGUCGCCAGCACCGCGAGCCUUUCGAAUACGUGUAUCGAAUGCAGGGAGGUAUUGGCGCGAGGGCUGCAACUCGAGCAUGUCCUGAGAAGCAAAUAUGCUCCAAAAAGAUAACGAAUGCGGGCUCUGGCGAGCACCCGUGCACACAACGCAUAGAGCAAACAACUGGGAAUGCCGCUAGAAGAAAACCAGGAGGUUCGCGACUGCUAGUACCAGGACAACGUUAUUCUAGCACUGAACAAAGUCGUCUGGUUUCUGAUGGCUUGUGGCGAAUCCGUCAGUGAGCCUCCGCGAGCAGAGACAUCGAUUGAACCUGCAGGGCUUGAGUCGCUUCAUAUGAAGAUGGAGCACCGAAUUGCUUACUCGCAUCCUGCUUUUCGAUUAGUUUCCCGAACGCUCUUUAGAUGUACAGAUCGAUGUCCAAAUGGAUGCAAUAAGGGCUCACGGAUCCAUGUGCAGUUCCAGGAUUCCGGAUUGUGGUUUCGGAGUGACGCAAUCGACGCUUUGCCGCUGGAAUUCGUACCGUCAACCGCGUCAGGGUGAUUCGUGACGCCCUCGAACGAUGGUUCCAAAAACAACUGGUAUCAUUAUUCAGUUCGUAGAAAAGAGUCUCGAGGCUUUUCCUCUGCCUCGUGUGUGGCAUGGUCGAAUCACGCAUGCUUCUUGUUUUCUGUAUCGCUGUUUCUGUGCAACUCGUGCGCACCGUCCAUCGGGCACGACAUCGCCUUUUGUGAGGCGCUCUCGAAUGCGACGGCGUACGCCUACACGUCCAGCGGACGGCGUACUCGCCGAGCGGAUCGCCCCAGACAAGCGCUUGAUGGAGGCGUGCGACACCGGCCGCAAGGAACGCACGAGGAGGCAUCAACCGGAGCCUUCGGUACCCGUCACAGGCGUUUGCGGAGCGAUGCAGCACGCGUUUUCGCGCCAAAGGCUGGCGGUCGAAGUCGGGGGAUCUCCGAUGUAUAUACAUAUGAAUACGGGCACAUCCGACCGCGCGCAGGUGUCAUCGUCGUAAGCAGCAUACCGAAGCUGUGGACAAAGAAGAUGAAACCUGCAAGUGAGGUGGCGAUCGCACGUACCUCCCGUGGAUGACAUGAAUAGCGCAGAUCCUGAUUGAGCACAGAAGCGCGACCUGGACGCUGCAAUCAACGUGCUUGGACUGCUCGCCACGGCGCUCUUAGUCCAUGAUUUUUGAGCGUAUUUCAUAUCGAGGGUAACAGAGAGGAAAAGGAAGCAGUUGCAGAAAAUACCAGCAAGAACUGGUGCUUGUGACGGUGGAAACAGACGCAAACGUUCGUGCGUAUGCCCGUUCUAAACGAGCAACCUCGUACCAUUCUGGUCGGACACGAGUAUAUCCAAGACGACGUUGCCAUGAGUACACUGAGGCAUCGAGCAGCACCGAACGCGGGCACCCAUUCGACUCGAUCCGAAAGCAUCUUCGGAUUACGUCGAUGGCUCGCUGGCGGGCUCGAGGCCCGAAGUGCGAGACCCUGGCAACGCUUUUCCAGUGUCGGAUUGGGUAACCAGGCCCGAGAAAAACAUUUGGCAGGCACAUCGAUGACUGAACCUUCGAAAUGCAAUGGAACGCUCUGCAUGGUCCGUCGUAUUUUACCGAGAUUUGAAGAACGUUCCUACCGCCGUCCAGAUACUGAUCGUGAUCUCCAUCGCUCAAGCGGCGUCGACUUUUGCCAUAUGCGUGAUCAAGUCUACCACUCGAUUGCUGUAUCCCCAUUCAUUAUCGUACCAGCUCACGAGCUUCACAAAGGUCGGUGACAACAUGAUGCCUGCUUGAGCGUCGAACACGGACGAGUACGAACUAUGCGCCAGGUCGGCUGAGACGAUGGGGUCUUCGGUGUACCCGAAGAUCCCCUUGAACUCGGGAUUCUCGGCCGCCGCCUUCAUGACGUGUUUGAUUUCUUCGUAGGUCGUGGGCGUUUUCAGAUUCGCUGUCAAGUCAACAACUGAUACAAGGGCCACCGGUAUCCGGAAAGCCAUGCCCGUCAAUUUACCGUCAAGCUUCGGGUAGACUUUGCCGACUGCUUUCGCUGCACCGGUGCUACUCGGUAUAAUAGACAGCAUGGCGCUGCGCCCGCGGCGCCAGUCUUUGUUGCUCGGGCCGUCCACGGUUCUCUGAGUCGCUGUCACAGCGUGUAUCGUGCUCAUGAGCCCGUUUUCGAUACCAAAGGCUUCAUCUAGGAUUUUGACGAGUGGCGCUAGGCAGUUCGUUGUGCAAGAGGCAUUGGAUACCACUUGGAGGUCCUUGGUGUAGGAGUCGUGGUUGACGCCCAUGACGAACAUGGGCACGUCCUUGGCAGGUGCGGAAACGACCACCUUUUUCGCGCCGCCUUUCAGGUGUAGAGACGCCUUCUCGGCAGUUGUAAAUGCGCCACUGGACUCGACGACGUACUCGGCGCCAGUCGA